rnacentral:misc_RNA from 1 species
AAGUCGUAACAAGGUUUCCGUAGGUGAACCUGCGGAAGGAUCAUUAAAGAGUUAGGGUCUUCUAGGCCCGACCUCCCAACCCUGUGUUUAACAAACCUCUGUUGCUUCGGCGGGCCCGUCUCACGACCGUUGGGGGGACCUUCACCGGUUCUCUGGCCUGUGCCCGCCGGUGGCCCACCUAAACAAACUCUGAAUAAAUCAUGUCUAUAUGUCUGAGUACAAUUACAAAAUAAAAGCAAAACUUUCAACAACGGAUCUCUUGGUUCUG